GUGCAGCCUUAAGGCAAGGCAUAUCUCUGUUCAUGAGUUACUGUGUACAGAGGCUGCAAACAGCAAAUGGACUCCAAGUAGUACCAGAAGCCCAUUUCUGGUAUGGGUCAUUUCAAAUAACUUGGAGACAGUC